CACAAACCCAUGGACUGCCUUUAGCUCUUUGCUGGUCUGUGAUCAGAAGUGCCACUGCAAGGAGAGGCAAAGAUCUCUCUCACCUGAAGUCCUUUGUCAUCAAUGGAAUUUGCACAAGGACCCACACCUACCUGCAAGGGCAGGUAACUCAAAGCUGUCAUAGCUAUGGCAACCACCUGGGCUGAGAUGGUUUGAAGGGAAUAUGGCUUUUUCCUGCAGAACAGACCAUUAUCAGGACCAGAAGAACUGAAAUUCCUUUGCUGGGGAGCCCUGGAAGAAUGAGAUAGAAGCUUCAUUUUUUAGGUCCAGGAAGCUGUUUUCUCUGCUGAUUAAGUAGGAGACUGCAUUUAGAAGUUUUGAUUUCUAACCCCAUCUUUCUAACAAAGUGGUUUUAAUAAGUAUUUUUGUACUCUGUAUUUCAGGUCCUAAAAAAAAAAAAAAAAAAAAAAAAAAAAAAAAAAAAAAGAAAAAGUGUUGUGACUUCUGUUAAGAAAUUUGUGAAUCUCAGAGAGGAAAAAACUCUGCCUAAGUACAAUGUAAACAGCUCAAUCUGAAGAGAUCUGAGACCUGGCAUCUCCUAAGUUACUCUUUGAAGUGUUGCAGUAGAACCUCUCCUUGGGCAGGUAGCUGUCCAUACCUAUCCUCACCCAAUAUUCUUGCUCCCUUUCUCUCCCUAUUGAGAACCAGAACUUACAAAAUCAGUUUCCUUAGGAGUGUUUUGAUGCUUUCACUACUUGUCAAAAUCAGGAAGUAUAAACCACACAGAAUUUUUUUUUUUUUUUUUUACAGCAAGAUAUCUGUGGAAAUUUGGAACAGGCUCCUACAUUAGCUCCUCCUCUAGAGUAUAACAGGUUUGUGCCACAGUUGUGACGAGGUUUAUGCCUGUGAGCUGUCUGAAAAAUUUAGAGGAUUGUUGUAUGUUAUGGGAUUCAGGUGAUCAUGAUAAACCUUUAGGAACACAAGCAGGUGCAGCAUAUCACAGGGGGGAAUCUGUUUCUUGGCUGUGCUAUUCUCACUGCACACCAGCAUGUCACUGGGAAGGACCCAAAUUCAGACUUCAGGCCUCAACUUUGCAUGUUGGAAAGUGAGGGAAAAAUAACUUCCCUAAACAGAAAUGAGAUCCAAUCUGCAGGAUAAAGUCCAAGGAUGGAUUGUGCCUCUUUUCCCAUGCCUCUACCCAGAGACCUCUGAUACCCAAAAGCUGAGCACAGCCAUCUAUCUACAGGAUCAUGGGCUCCUUUUGUAGAAAUGAAUAAAGGAAGCCCAACUAAAAGGACCCA
rnacentral:lncRNA from 1 species